CUGGGUCCGCCGCCGCCAAGCCCGAGUACAGCCAGAGCAUCGGCAGCAGCGGAGCGUUGCUUGGCUUUUGUCUCCGUACGCUUUCUUCCUUUCCUUCCAAACUUCUGGACGCUCUCUCCGAGCUGUAUUUAUAGACCUGGAGCCCACGGCUGUAUUUUUCCUUUUGCCUCCUUUGGCUUGGGCUUAAGUUACUGGCGGGGAAAAUAAAAAAGGAGGCAGGCAUGCAGGCGGGCAAACGGGAGGAUAGAAGAGGGGAAAGCUGGAGGUGCCGCAGGCGGGACUCGAGGGGAGGCUGGGGCAGGCUGCCGGAGAGAGGGUGGAUGCUGAAAGUCUCUAACAAAAUAUCUCAGUAACGUGGAUGGUGCAAUUAUCAUGUUGUUGAGCAUUUCCUUAUUGACGUGCACCACACAUAGCGUCUAAUCUCCAAAAUGUAUGUCAAAGCAGUUUCUCGGUUUCUGACGUGUUUAGAGAGCCUGUCCUGCAGGCUUUCCAGAGAGUUUGACGCCUGCAGAGAUCUUCCUGCAGGGCUUUUCCGCAGAGCUGUCAGUUUCCUGCAGUCUAAGCUUUGCCCUGUGCGCUCGAGGAUACCCUCUCAUCACGGACAGCAUGAGUCAUGUUUCUGCACCAGAACUCCAACUCAACAGCCAUAG
rnacentral:lncRNA from 1 species